rnacentral:rRNA from 1 species
GUAGGUGGCAAGCGUUGUCCGGAAUUAUUGGGGCGUAAAGCGUGCGCAGGCGGUUCUUUAAGUCUGAUGUGAAAGCCCACGGGCUCAACCGUGGAGGGUCAUUGGAAACUGGAGAACUUGAGUACAGAAGAGGAAAGCGGAAUUCCACGUGUAGCGGUGAAAUGCGUAGAGAUGUGGAGGAACACCAGUGGCGAAGGCGGCUUUCUGGUCUGUAACUGACGCUGAGGCGCGAAAGCGUGGGGAGCAAACAGGAUUAGAUACCCUGGUAGUCCACGCCGUAAACGAUGAGUGCUAAGUGUUAGGGGGUUUCCGCCCCUUAGUGCUGCAGCUAACGCAUUAAGCACUCCGCCUGGGGAGUACGGCCGCAAAGGCUG